GCUGGGCGUGUUGGCUCAUGCCUGUAAUCCCAACACCUUGGGAGGCUGAGGUAGGUGGAUCACCUGAGGUUAGGAGUUCAAGACCAGCCUGACCAACAUGGUGAAACCCUGUCUCUA
rnacentral:sRNA from 1 species